rnacentral:rRNA from 1 species
UACGUAGGUCCCAAGCGUUAUCCGGAAUUAUUGGGCGUAAAGAGCUCGUAGGCGGUUUGUCGCGUCGGCUGUGAAAAGCCCCGGAGCUCAACUCCGGGUCUGCAGUCGAUACGGGCAGACUAGAGUUCGGUAGGGGAGACUGGAAUUCCUGGUGUAGCGGUGAAAUGCGCAGAUAUCAGGAGGAACACCGGUGGCGAAGGCGGGUCUCUGGGCCGAUACUGACGCUGAGGAGCGAAAGCGUGGGGAGCAAACAGG